rnacentral:rRNA from 1 species
UACGUAGGGUGCAAACGUUGUUCGGAAUUACUGGGCGUAAAGCGCAUGUAGGCGGCCUAGCAGGUCGGAUGUGAAAGCCCUCGGCUCAACCGAGGAAGUGCAUUCGAAACCGCAAGGCUUGAGUCCCGGAGAGGGUAGUGGAAUUCUCGGUGUAGAGGUGAAAUUCGUAGAUAUCGAGAGGAACACCGGUGGCGAAAGCGGCUACCUGGACGAGGACUGACGCUGAGAUGCGAAAGCGUGGGGAGCAAACAGG